AAUGACCCCAAAACGACCCCAAACCCCCCCAAAUUAAUCCCAAAAUCCCCCCGACCCCAAAAUGGCCCCAAAUGGCCCCCAAAUGACCCCAAAAUGGUCCCCAAAUGACCCCAAAACGGCCCCCAAGCCCCCCACAAUCACCCCAAAAUCCCACAGACCCCAAAAUGGCCCCAAAUGGCCCCCAAAUGACCCCAAAAGGCCCCCAAUGACCCCAAAAGGACCCCCAAUGACCCCAAAAUGCCCGCAGUGACCCCAAAGGGCCCGCAAUGACCCCAAAGGGCCCGCAGUGACCCCAAAAGGGCCCCCAAUGACCCCAAAAGGCCCCCAAUGACCCCAAAGGGCCCCCAAUGACCCCAAAAGGCCCCCAAUGACCCCAAAGGGCCCGCAGUGACCCCAAAGGCCCGCAGUGACCCCAAAGGGCCCGCAGUGACCCCAAAAGGCCCCAAUGACCCCAAAAGGCCCCCAAUGACCCCAAAGGGCCCGCAAUGACCCCAAAAGGCCGCCAAUGACCCCAAAGGGCCCGCAGUGACCCCAAAGGGGCCGCAGUGACCCCAAAAGGCCCCCAAUGACCCCAAAAGGCCCCCAAUGACCCCAAAAGGCCCCCAAUGACCCCAAAGGGGCCCGCAAUGACUCCAAAAGGCCCGCAGUGACCCCAAAAGGCCCCCAAUGACCCCAAAGGGCCCGCAGUGACCCCAAAAGGCCCCCAAUGACCCCAAAAGGCCCCCAAUGACCCCAAAGGGCCCGCAGUGACCCCAAAAGGCCCCCAGUGACCCCAAAGGGCCCGCAGUGACCCCAAAAGGCCCCCAAUGACCCCAAAAGGCCCCCAAUGACCCCAAAAGGCCCCAAUGACCCCAAAAGGCCCCCCCACCUCCUCCUUCUUGUAGGGCGCCUCCAGCAUCGCCUCGAUGACGAUAUCGAAGUCGUCCGACGUCAUCGCGUCCGUCUGCGGAGACAAAAACCCCACAGCCACCCCAUAGCCACCCCAUAGCGACCCCAUAGGGACCCACACGGACCCACAGGGACCAUACGGGCCCAUAGCAAACAUACAGACCCAUAGCAACACAUACAGACCCCAUAGAAACCAUACAGACCCCAUAGGGAACAUACACACCUCAUAAGGACACAUAAACAUCAGAGACCCCAUAGAGACCCCAUACAGACCGCAUGGCCCCAUAGCCACCCCAUAGCCACUCCAUAGCGACCCAUAGCGACCCCACAGUGACCCAUAGGGACCCACAGGGACCCACACGGACCCAUAGCAACACAUACAGACCCAUAGCAACACAUACAGACCCCAUAGAGAACAUACAGACCUCAUAAGGACCCAUAAAUACCAGAGACCCCAUAGAGACCCCAUACAGACCACAUGGCCCCAUAGCCACCCCACAGUGACCCAUAGCGACCCCACAGGGACCCAUAGCGACCCCACAGGGACCCAUAGCGACCCACACGGACACACACGGACCCAUAGCAACACAUACAGACCCACAGCAACACAUACAGACCCCAUAGGAACCAUACAGACCCCAUAGGGAACAUAGACACCUCAUAAGGACCCAUAAAUACCAGAGACCCCAUAGAGACCCCAUACAGACCACAUGACCCCAUAGCCACCCCAUAGCCACCCCACAGUGACCCAUAGCGACCCACAGUGACCCAUAGGGACCCACAGGGACCCAUAGGGACCCACACGGACCCACAGGGACCAUACGGGCCCAUAGCAACACACACAAACCCAUAGCAAACACAGAAACCCCAUAGCGACCCAUAAACGUGACAACCACCCCAUACAGACUACAUGGCCCCAUAGGGACCCAUAGGGGCCCACGAACACCAUAAGGACCCAUAGCGACCCAUAGAACCCCAUAGGAACCAUAGAGACCCCAUAGCGACCCAUAGGGACCCAUAAACACUCAUAAACAUCAUAAAGAUCCCAUACAGACCCCAUACAGACUAUAUGGACCCAUAGGGACCCCAUAGGGCCCAUAGGAACCCACAGACGCUAUAGGGACCCACAACAACCCAUAGAGACCCAUAGCAACCAUAGAGACCCCAUAGCAACCAUAGAAACCCCAUAGCAACCAUAGAGACCCCACAGCGACCCAUAGGGACCCAUAGACACCCAUAGAGACCCCAUAAAGACCCCAUACGGACUAUAUGACCCCAUAGGGACCCACAGGGACCCACAGAGGCCAUACGGACCCAUAGCGACCCACAGAGACCCAUAAACAUCAUAGAGAUCCCAUACAGACCCCGUACAGACCCAAUACAGACCGCAUGGCCCCAUAGGGACCCCAUAGGGACCCACAGCAACCCAUAGAGACCCAUAAGGACCAUAGAAACCCCAUAGUGACCCAUAGGAACCCGCAAACACCCAUAAACAUCAUAGAGACCCCAUAGAGACCCCACAGAGACCCCACAGGAACCCCUAUGAAGCGCAGAGACCCCACGGGGACCCCAUAGGAACCCCAUAGGGACCCACAGCGCCCCACACCGCCUUCACAACACCCCACAAUGUAUCCACAGCGCCCCAUAACCCCCAUAAAGCCCCAUAAAGCCCCAUAACCCCCAUAAGGCCCCAU
rnacentral:lncRNA from 1 species